rnacentral:rRNA from 1 species
CUAGACAUAAAUAAACUAAACUUUACCAGAGCACUACGAACUAUAAAUUUAAAACUCAAAGAGCUUGGCGGUGCUUUAGACUAUUCAGGGGAACCUGUCCCAUAAUCGACAAUCCACGAAACAACCUCACCUUUUUUUGCAAUCAGUAUGUAUACCGUCGUCGUCAGGUAACUUUUAAAAACACAGAAGUUAGCAAACAAAUUACAUUAGUUUUCACGUCAGAUCAAGGUGCAGCCUACAAAAAGGAGUGGAUGGGUUACAGUUAAGACUUAUAAUUACGGACAUUGGCCUUCAAAAGCCUUUUGAAGGAGGACUUGAAAGUAAGAUUCAGCAGACAAACGAUCUGAAUUAAGCUCUGAAGCG